rnacentral:misc_RNA from 1 species
AAGUUUGUGGAGCCCAAUGUGAAGUUUGAACAUAAUAAGCUACUCAGAGCAUUAGAACAGUUUAUUUUUCCCAGGGAAUAGUUUAAAACCAAAGUUUAACACUGUAACAUCAGAAUUACCAACAAAAAAUUCAUUUGCUUUUGGCAUGUUUUUCAGCACCAAAGGGAAGGGAGCUUCCAACUCCAUGCUUGUUGUCUAGGCUACCAGGGCUAAUUUCAGUUUUCAGUCUCCUGGAAUUAUCCGAAACCACCUUUGACGUCAUAAAUGUGCAGCUUUCAAGACUGAUAAACAUCAGGAAGGCGGAGACCCACACUUGCAGCAGAUUUACCCAACACUUUUGUCAUCUCAUUGGAUCUAUCAACCGCAAUGUUGUAAGAAAAUAAUAGGUCCUUAUGAUGGUGGACACUGUUGAGAAGGUAAGUAUAAUUUUCGGCAAGCUUAAUUCUUUGUUGGAUAAAAGAAGAGUCUUUUGGGUAUUCAAGAUUUCUGUUCUUCUUGAACUCCUCUCUUAUGAAGUCGGUGAAAUGAACCUUGUGUUCUUCCUUCCCUAUAUGUUUUUCCACUGCUUUUAGUAGAUUUCUAUAGACCAUUCUUAAACCUUUAAAAGAACCCAUUUCUGCAAAAUCCCAAAUAACCAAUCUUACCUUAGAAAUUUAACCACUACUAUAAAAAUCCAAACAUUGGGAUGAUAAAAAUUGGGUAAGAACAGGAAGAAAAGAUCGCAAUUUUUGGACACUAAAGGAUUUAG